rnacentral:rRNA from 2 species
UGGGGAAUAUUGCACAAUGGAGGGAACUCUGAUGCAGCGACGCCGCGUGAACGAAGAAGGCUUUCGAGUCGUAAAGUUCUUUUACAUGGGAAGAUAAUGACGGUACCAUAAGAAAAAGCCCCGGCUAACUACGUGCCAGCAGCCGCGGUAAUACGUAGGGGGCUAGCGUUGUCCGGAAUCACUGGGCGUAAAGGGUUCGCAGGCGGAAAUGCAAGUCAGGUGUAAAAGGCAGUAGCUUAACUACUGUAAGCAUUUGAAACUGCAUAUCUUGAGAAGAGUAGAGGUAAGUGGAAUUUUUAGUGUAGCGGUGAAAUGCGUAGAUAUUAAAAAGAAUACCGGUGGCGAAGGCGACUUACUGGGCUCAUUCUGACGCUGAGGAACGAAAGCGUGGGUAGCAAACAGG